GACGAACGCUGGCGGCGUGCUUAACACAUGCAAGUCGAACGGAAAGGCCAGUGCUUGCACUGGUACUCGAGUGGCGAACGGGUGAGUAACACGUGGGUAAUCUGCCUUGCACUCUGGGAUAAGCUUGGGAAACUGGGUCUAAUACCGGAUAUGAACUGCCUUUAGUGUGGUGGUUGGAAAGUUUUUUCGGUGCAAGAUGAGCUCGCGGCCUAUCAGCUUGUUGGUGGGGUAAUGGCCUACCAAGGCGUCGACGGGUAGCCGGCCUGAGAGGGUGUACGGCCACAUUGGGACUGAGAUACGGCCCAGACUCCUACGGGAGGCAGCAGUGGGGAAUAUUGCACAAUGGGCGGAAGCCUGAUGCAGCGACGCCGCGUGGGGGAUGACGGCCUUCGGGUUGUAAACUCCUUUCGACAGGGACGAAGCGUAAGUGACGGUACCUGUAGAAGAAGCACCGGCUAACUACGUG
rnacentral:rRNA from 1 species